rnacentral:misc_RNA from 1 species
GAUGAAGAACGUAGCGAAAUGCGAUAACUAAUGUGAAUUGCAGAAUUCCGUGAAUCAUCGAGUCUUUGAACGCACAUUGCGCCCCCUGGUAUUCCGGGGGGCAUGCCUGUCCGAGCGUCAUUGCUGCCCUCAAGCACGGCUUGUGUGUUGGGCCCCGUCCUCCGAUCCCGGGGGACGGGCCCGAAAGGCAGCGGCGGCACCGCGUCCGGUCCUCGAGCGUAUGGGGCUUUGUCACCCGCUCUGUAGGCCCGGCCGGCGCUUGCCGAUCAACCCAAAUUUUUAUCCAGGUUGACCUCGGAUCAGGUAGGGAUACCCGCUGAACUUAAGCAUAUCAAUAAGCGGGGA